rnacentral:rRNA from 1 species
UGGGGAAUAUUGCACAAUGGGCGCAAGCCUGAUGCAGCCAUGCCGCGUGUGUGAAGAAGGCCUUCGGGUUGUAAAGCACUUUCAGCGGGGAGGAAGGCGAUAAGGUUAAUAACCUCAUCGAUUGACGUUACCCGCAGAAGAAGCACCGGCUAACUCCGUGCCAGCAGCCGCGGUAAUACGGAGGGUGCAAGCGUUAAUCGGAAUUACUGGGCGUAAAGCGCACGCAGGCGGUCUGUCAAGUCGGAUGUGAAAUCCCCGGGCUCAACCUGGGAACUGCAUCUGAUACUGGCAAGCUUGAGUCUCGUAGAGGGGGGUAGAAUUCCAGGUGUAGCGGUGAAAUGCGUAGAUAUAUGGAGGAACACCAGUGGCGAAGGCGGCUCUCUGGUCUGUAACUGACGCUGAGGCUCGAAAGCGUGGGGAGCAAACAGG